rnacentral:rRNA from 1 species
GAUGAACGCUGGCGGCGUGCCUAAUACAUGCAAGUCGAGCGAACAGACGAGGAGUUUGCGCGGCUGACGUGAGGGGCGGGCGGGUGAGUAACACGAGUAUAACCUACCUAAAAGACUGAGAUAACGACGGGAAAGCGGAUAUAACACCGGAUAAGAUAUUGAACCGCAGGGUUCAUUGGAGAAAGACGGUUUUGCUGGAACUAAUAGAGGGUUCCGAGCCGGUUUGGCUAGUUGGUAAGGAAACGGCUUACCAAGGCGAGGAUGCGUAGCCGACCUGAGAGGCUGAUCGGCCACCCUGGAACUGAGACACGGUCCAGACUCCUACGGGAGGCAGCAGUAGGGAAUCUUCCGCAAUGGGCGAAAGCCUGACGCAGCAACGCCGCGUGAGUGAUGAAGGUCUUCGGAUCGUAAAGCUCUGUUAUUAGGGAUGAACCGCUGUGUCAGUAACUAUGCCCGUCUUGACGGUACCUACUCAGGAAGCCCCGGCUAACUACGUG